rnacentral:rRNA from 1 species
UUCCCCUUCGGGGGGACAGGGUGACAGGUGGUGCAUGGUUGUCGUCAGCUCGUGUCGUGAGAUGUUGGGUUAAGUCCCGCAACGAGCGCAACCCUCGCCUCUAGUUGCCAGCAUUCGGUUGGGCACUCUAGAGGGACUGCCGGCGACAAGUCGGAGGAAGGUGGGGAUGACGUCAAAUCAUCAUGCCCCUUAUGACCUGGGCUACACACGUGCUACAAUGGGCGGUACAAAGGGCUGCGAACCCGCGAGGGGGAGCGAAUCCCAAAAAGCCGCUCUCAGUUCGGAUUGCAGGCUGCAACUCGCCUGCAUGAAGCCGGAAUCGCUAGUAAUCGCGGAUCAGCACGCCGCGGUGAAUACGUUCCCGGGCCUU